AUACGGAGGAUCCGAGCGUUAUCCGGAUUUAUUGGGUUUAAAGGGAGCGUAGGUGGGUUGUUAAGUCAGUUGUGAAAGUUUGCGGCUCAACCGUAAAAUUGCAGUUGAAACUGGCAGUCUUGAGUACAGUAGAGGUGGGCGGAAUUCGUGGUGUAGCGGUGAAAUGCUUAGAUAUCACGAAGAACUCCGAUUGCGAAGGCAGCUCACUAGACUGUUACUGACACUGAUGCUCGAAAGUGUGGGUAUCAAACAGGAUUAGAUACCCUGGUAGUCCACACAGUAAACGAUGAAUACUCGCUGUUUGCGAUAUACAGUAAGCGGCCAAGCGAAAGCAUUAAGUAUUCCACCUGGGGAGUACGCCGGCAACGGUGAAACUCAAAUGAAUUGACGGGG
rnacentral:rRNA from 1 species